ACCCAGCUAAUUUGACGGUAGCAGAACCCUGCUGGGGAAUUCCAGGCAGAGCCAAGGUGGAGACUGUGACCUUAGCUCUCCCAUCCUCCCCUGUCCUCUCCUCCCCUGCGCAGCUCCUCCCACACUGGCUUGGGACGUGAGGGAGCAGAACUAAAGUUUAUUCCUCUUAGGUCAGACGCUUCAAAGUUGCCAUGGUUCCUGGAAAUCUACCCCGCCAUCUACAAGAUCACCAAGCAGAUGCAGAAGUACCAUCUCCCUUCUGAGCUUCUGGUGCUGUGGUGAGCAGUCCGGUUUUUCCUUGGUGACUGCAGAGCUUCCAUGAGUCCCAUUUGCAGGAUCUGCGGCUUCAAAACCUAGAGAGCAUGCCUACUGGGUACUGUAUACUAUACAGUGCAUGUAAGUCAGCGCGGGGGAGUGGAGAGAGAGUGUUUUAUCACAAACUUGACUCUAUUUUGAGCUCCUAAAAAGAAAGGACUUACGAGGUUCAAACUGUUAUCAUUAGAGUCACUUGUGUGAAUAACCCCAAUGCUUUCUAGAGACUCUCCCUUGGGAAGAAAAGGGAGCAGCCUUGCAUUUUCCUGAGCUCUUCUAUCCACCUGUCUCCAGCCUCCCCCUCACAUUCCAUCCUCCAUUCUGCUUACAGAAUGAUCUAACCCAAAUGUAAAUCUGAUCGUGCCACCCUCUGCCUCAGUGCCUUCACAGGAUUUCCACUGACUCCUGAAUACAGUACCAGUUCUUUGGCAGAACAUGCGAAUGAACGUCAGCCUUGUUUUGCCUCAUGCAUCCUGCUCCUUCGGUUCCUGCCGUUCCGUUAUCGCUCAGCUGAGGGGCAGAACCUGAAGUCUUAGCCUGGCUGCACAGACUAUCAAGAGUAUAUCUUUUUUCCUUUUAAAAGUGGUCAUGUGUUUCUCAAAUCUUUCCACAACAAAAUCAGUGAAUAUCUUUACCAAAAAUAACGCUUGUAAAAUAGAGUGAAUAUUUAUGGCCAGGCACUAGGUUGUAUGUUUUAAGUUGGCUCAUUUAAUCAUUACAACAACCCUAAGAGGUAAGUGCUAUUUCUAACUUCAUCUGAUGGAUGAGAAACUGAGCACAGAGGUUUGUUAAAUAAUGAUUUACGCUCACAAGUAGCAAAACCAGGUUUCAAACCCUGGCAGUCAGGCUCCACAAGUCAUGCUCUUUACCGUGCUGUCCUAUAGCCUCUCAUUAAAAAUGCAGAUUCUCAGGCCUCUCCACAGCCCAAAGGUAUACAUUUUAAACAAGAUUCCAAGAUGAUUCUUCUACGCACUGAUUUAAAAACCGUUACUGUAAAUUUUGUUCAAACAGAAAAUAGUAGAUGAGUGCCCUCUAGUGUAUACAUAUGAGCAUUACACACUUGUUGGUGUUGGAUCUGAUCUUUUAUCAAUUUUGUACAAAAAUAGCCAAAUUUCAUGAUGUACAAAUUUUAAGGACUGUAUUAGGAUAAAUUAUUUACAUUUCAAUUUCUUAACUUAUUAAUACUAUCUUAAACUGAUUUUUGUCACAGAAGUAUUAUAUAAAUAUUGCCAGAUAACUGUCUCUCUCAUCAUACCUCAGUAGCUCCUGGGAAUUCAAUUUAAAUAUUGGAAGGCUCCAAUCCCACAAGUCUGGUUGUUAGGAAUGGAGGCUCAUAUCCUUAGUGCACAUGAUUUUUAUGGUCCUGAAGUACCCGGCAAGGUGGGAACUGCCUGUAUAGUAUUUCACUGGAAGAGACUAUCUGGUGGCUCAAAUGAAAUAUCCAUUUCUGGGAGGAUAGGAAAAGGGAGGUAACUUUUUUGUGUACCCUGGUUACUGGUAAGGUGUAGGUGUAACAGUGGAAUGAUGUUAAAAGAGCAUUAGAAACAAGGUCCACGUCAGAAACUUGGUCUAUGCCUAAACAUAAGCUUCAGUUUCCUGAUCCAGCAGGUAAGGGCAAUACCAGUGUUUCCAUCCACUUGAUGUGGUUGUUUUUAACAUAGCACAUGAAAGUGUUAAAUAAAUGUCUACAGGAAAAAUGAAUGAUCCAGGACUUAGUUUGACCAAGAAUAGUCACCCCUACAAAGUUCUCAUAGCCCUUCUAUUACAGUUGAGCCUAGAAUAGUAAGGCUGCUGGUUAGGGUGAGAGUGAGGGUAGGGACAAACAUUUGGAGUAAGAAGUCCAGAUCCCUUGAAGGUACAUAUGUUAGGACCAGGAGCAUUGAAUCUUCUGGCCCAGCCCUCAUUCCCAUGCCCCCUAAUCUUUGUGCUAUCUGAAUGGAGAUUAAAUGGUUCAGUUUGGGAAAAGUAGCAGAGAAAACAAAGCUUGGUUCUGGCCAUAAGGUCUCCUAGUGGUGCAUAUUCUUGAAUUUUUAGUCUUGCUCAGUUGCUUCACUCCUUUCAGCAAAAAACAUGCUCAAGUUUUCCACCUCAAACCAAAGAUCAAUCUUAUAACUACCCACUCUGAGUUACUAUUGUUCUAUAUAUCCUUUCAAUUUAGCAUCCACCUCAUCCAGUUCUCUGAAGCUCUGUCUCAAAGGCAGCCAGUGACUUUAUAAUUUUCAUAAUCUGGUACUCAGCACUUGUGUUCUCUGAGCAGAGAGUGCAGAUCUCUGCCCACGGACCACACUCUCCUCUUUGAUGACUUCUCCCCUUCAUACUUCUGUGACAUGGCACCAAAGGCCCUACGACUUCUUGUUUCCCUUGUCCCUAAAUGUGUCUUAUGCGCUGUGUUCUGACUUUGAACCCUUUAUCCUUUUCUUCUAAAGGUUCCUCUAUGAACUUUCCAUCAUUCCAGCAUGGUGGGUAUCUCACAAAUCUUUACCCUUCCAGCCUUCACUCCUCAGGAUUCAUAUUUCCAUUUGUAACCCACCAGCAUCUCAGCAUGUCUUGCAAUAAAAGAAAAUAUUUCAAAAGUG